GUGAGCCAACAUGACCUCCCAAGAGCUUUCCUCCUGCCUUCCCACCACAGGCUUCUCAUUGGUAAUAAGAUUCAUGUUCAAACCUGGAACCUCUCAGGGAAAGGAGUGCUAGGAAGUGGCUCCAAGUCUCAGAUGGGACUCCUGGGGGUGCCACGUUGAUAACAGGUGAUUCAGCAGAAGGACUGACAUUUGUGUGUGUUUACCAAUCUAGGGCUUUACGUACCUGAGUCUGUUUGACUCCUGCAACAAUGUUGAGGAGUAAGAGCUCCUCCAGGUACACAGCUGCUAAGUGGACAAGACAGGACAUGGUCUUCCUGCUUAGUUCCUUCCUGACCACGUGGCAUUGCUAGGGGUUAUCCAUCUGUUUCCUCCUCUAGACUUCAGGUUCCUUGGAGAGGGGAUCUCUCUUAUGCAUCUUUGUAUCUUCAAUGAAGUAGAAUUUUUGUACACCUUAGUAUAGCAUCUGCAUAUGAAAAGAAUUCAAUACUUCUUUUUUUUUUUUUUUUUUUUAUAGACAAGGUCUCAUUCUGUUGCCUAGGCUGGAUGGAGUACAGUGGUGCAACCAUAGCUCACUGCAGCCUCAAACUCCUGGACUCAAUGGGGUCCUCCCACCUCAGCAUCCUGAGUAGCUGGGCCUACAGGUGUGUGCCACCCUGCCUGGCUAAUUUAAUUUUUUCUUUUUUUAGAGAUGGGGUCUCUCUAUGUUGCCCAGGCUGGUAUUGAACUCCUGGCCUCAAGUGAUCCUCUCACCUCAGCUUCCCAAAGUGCUGGAAUUACGGGUGUGAGCCACUGCACUCAGCCAGAAUUUAAUAAAUUUUUUUAAAAUUGAAGUGUUUAGAUCUAGAAACAAAGAGCCAAGAAGAUGCUCACCAAUACAUAUCUUUCUUCUUGUCAUUUAGGUUAUAUGUAUUUUGAAACAGGAAAUCUCGCCAUCCUCACCAAAGCCAUUUCCUUGAGAGGAUUUUAUCUGGUUUGUCUCCUUGACUCCAGGCAGGGCUCCAUUCCAACCAGAUGGAAGAAUGCAGACAUCUCACAUCAUUUACACCCAGAAGGCUGUCAGCAGCAGCGCUCAGGGAGUGAGAGUGUUUAAUCUCGAGGAGGAAAUAGAAUGUAUACACACCCUGCAAACUGAGAUGUUUUACGUUGGCUCUGGCUCCUACCGCCCCCCAUGUGUGGCAGCAGCUACCAAGACUCUACUGUGAAUCCCCAUGACUGAAUAGUUUCAGCAGGAUUGGUACCAUCUCUUCUUUGUACAUCUGAUAGA
rnacentral:lncRNA from 1 species